rnacentral:rRNA from 1 species
GACGAACGCUGGCGGCGUGCUUAACACAUGCAAGUCGAACGGAAAGGCCCCUUUGGGGGUACUCGAGUGGCGAACGGGUGAGUAACACGUGAGUAACCUGCCCUUGACUUCGGGAUAACUUCAGGAAACUGGGGCUAAUACCGGAUAGGAAUCCUUGCUGCAUGGUGGGGGUUGGAAAGCUUCGGCGGUUUUGGAUGGACUCGCGGCUUAUCAGCUUGUUGGUGGGGUAGUGGCUUACCAAGGCUUUGACGGGUAGCCGGCCUGAGAGGGCGACCGGCCACAUUGGGACUGAGAUACGGCCCAGACUCCUACGGGAGGCAGCAGUGGGGAAUAUUGCACAAUGGGCGGAAGCCUGAUGCAGCAACGCCGCGUGCGGGAUGACGGCCUUCGGGUUGUAAACCGCUUUCAGCAGGGGCGAAGCUUGUGGUGACGGUACCUGCAGAAGAAGCACCGGAUAACUACGUG